UACGUAGGGUGCGAGCGUUGUCCGGAAUUAUUGGGCGUAAAGAGCUCGUAGGCGGUUUGUCACGUCGGAUGUGAAACCCCGGGGCUUAACUCCGGGCCUGCAUUCGAUACGGGCUGACUAGAGUUCGGCAGGGGAGACUGGAAUUCCUGGUGUAGCGGUGAAAUGACGCAGAUAUCAGGAGGAACACCGGUGGCGAAGGCGGGUCUCUGGGCCGAUACUGACGCUGAGGAGCGAAAGCGUGGGGAGCGAACAGG
rnacentral:rRNA from 1 species